CAUUGAUGUGAAAGGCUUCCUUUACAGUACUGCGUAUAUAUACAGGCAGUGCCUCUCACACUGUGCUCAGUUUGAUAGUCUAUCAAUCAAAGAGAGCCACAAGGUUGACAAGUGAAAUCACUUACGGUUCAUUUGAAAACAGUGAAUCCAGGUGCAGAGAAAUCCAUAGAACAUGGAAAAUUCAUGUUCAUUGUGUCUUCUCAUGCUCACAUUCGGUGUGUGCACCAAUGCCCGGGAUGCAUUUUAUCCAUUUGGUUCAUCUGCAGGGGAUACUUUUAUGCCUGACGUAUACCACAAGAUAGUCCUGUCACAGCCACUCACUUACUUCAAUCACACGGUCCAGACAAUUUAUGUAAGCAUUGUUAAAUAUU